UACGAAAGGUGCAAGCGUUACUCGGAAUCACUGGGCGUAAAGCGCACGUAGGCGGACUCGUAGGUCAGUUGUGAAAUACCUGGGCUCAACCCGGGAACUGCAGCUGAAACCGCUUGUCUUGAAUACCUGAGAGGUGGGGAAUACCUGGUGGAGAAGUGAAAUUCGUAGAGAUCAGGUGGAACACCGGAGGCGAAGGCGCCUGCCUGGCAGUGUAUUGACGCUGAGGUGCGAAAGUGCGGGAGCAAACAGG
rnacentral:rRNA from 1 species